CUAGAUAUUUUCUCUCGCUCUCGCUCUCUGCCCCGACGGCUGUACGUCUUAUGAGAAACAAUCUUGAGAGGGUUCAAGAACGAUCCAGAGAGCCGGGGUCUUUCUCUUUGAUCUGUGCGUGACCUACCUAACAUAACAAUCCAGAGAGAUCGAUCAAUUAUCAAGAACGAUUGAGAGAGAGAGAGAGAGAGAAAUAGGGUGUGUUUCUGUGAUGGAGAACUUGAAAUUCACUGCUCCAAGGAGGGCUGAUGAGAGAGAAAAUGAAGGGUGGUGAUGUUGCUGAGCCCUUAAGCUCUUUAAAUCACUGGGUAAUUGAGGUUAGUCGAAGACAGACAAAGCACAACAUUUUUGGACAUCACGAUCUUCUUCAUUAUCAAAGGGAUUUCAAUAAACAGGAACAUUAGGUGGCAGUACUGCUUUGGACUCUAAUUUUGGAUUGUUGUUUUUUGUUUCCUUUGAUGCAGUUGUCCUUCUCUUGAGGAACAACGUUGACAAAAGGGAGGCAUUAGAUAACCUGGAUAUCAUACUUUUUCCUUUAUUUGAAGGCUUGAGAAAAGAGUGAACGAGGUCGAGCAGUAUUACUUGAGGAAAGGAAGUCUGCAACCAACCACUUCGAAGGAGAAAGACAGAGAUAAACAUUUUAAUACAAUUAAGAAGCAGCAGCAAGAUGCAUCACGUAGGGAAGCCGCUGCUGCAAAGAGGAUGCGAGAUCUGUUAAGUUUUCCGCAAACUUCAAACAGGUAUGCACUAACCUCAUGAUAGGCCACUGGCAAUGGAUCAACAUACUUGGAUAUAUGAUGAUGAAGAUAUUUGCUUUACAUGCCAGGGUUCUGUUAAUGUAAAUGAUUGUUUUGUAACGUAAAUGAGUGUUUUAUAUGUUUGUUACUUAUGCUUUCUCUUCAUAAUAUUGUUGAAUACUUUGAUUUUAAAAAUCAACAUCUAAAGUUAUUUCCUACAGAAGGGGGAAACUGAGAUGAUGAAGUGUUGGGAACAAACUCAAAUAUGGAUGGUGAAAUUAAAAUGCUAUAUGCUGUUAUCAAGUUUGAAGGAUAAUGCCAAUUUUUUGAUGUUCAUGUCAAUUUCUUAUUCCACGGAAUAAAAAGCAGCUAUUUAUAUAUUUCUUAAAGCUAUAAACUGUAAUAAGUUGAAUUAUUACAUAAUAUCAAGGUUGAUAUUCUGCGAUCAGUUGUUCAUGUUUAUCUCUACAAUCACAAGCUGAACAGGACAAUGUUGAUUAUCACUUAUAGAUUAUCUCUUAGAUGGAUAUUAAGUUUCAUAAAAAGCAGAGCCAAGGAGCUUAUAUAAUGAUGGAAUUUUCUCUUGCUGCUAGAAAACUGUGUUCCUUCAUAUAAUGGUGUUUUUUUUUUUAAUUAAUUAAUUAAUUUUAUUUUUUAUUUUGUUAUAUCUAAUAUUAGUACUACUGCCUCUAUCAGUGAGGGUUACAAACUACAUAUGCCAGUAGACUUUAUUUGUUUUCAUGGUUUACUUUGUAUAAGGCUUUGCUUUACUUCUUCGAUUUGAAGCUUUGCUGCUUCAAAAGUGAUGAAAGUAUUUGCUCUUGGUUAAUCAACAGAAGUUCACUAUUGUGUGUGAGAGUUUUUCUGGGUUUAUCCCAUCUGUUGUUAAUCUAUUGAUUUGUUUGGAAAGAACCUUUCUUAUUGGAAAAUCUGUUCUGGGAUUGUAGUAGAUUGUGAUUAGCUCCACUUGCUGGGAUAAAGUGUGAAAGAGAUGAUCUUUUGUUAUGUUUCACCAUUUGUGUUAUUUGUAUUCGUGCUUAGAUUACGACCAUUAGGUGUCAUGAAUUCUUUCUGCCAUUUCUUUAUCUCAGUAAUAUGUAGCUGUAAAUCAGAGAGAACCCUUUUUUUUUAAAAGCUUUACAUGUUGCUGAUGGGCAAAAACAAUACUUAAUAAGUCAGUAACUGGGAGUGUAGUUGCAGAUGGGAUGUGCAAGUCACCUUCUAAAGAGAAAUUGAAGCAAAUGAGAAGCAUUGAUAUCAACUCCAACUUGAGGAGGCUAUUAGUAACAUAGGUGCAUUUUCUCCCCCAGUAUUUGGUGGUUGUUACUUUGCAUUUCUUUUCCUUUUUGUA